GUCGGAGAGGAAGGGGCGGCUAACUCUGUGCCAGCAGCCGCGGUGAUACAGAGGCCCCAAGCGUUGUUCGGAUUUACUGGGCGUAAAGGGUGUGUAGGGGGUCGGGCCAGUCCGAUGUGAAAUCCCGUUGCUUAACAACGGAACUGCAUCGGAUACUACUCGGCUAGAGGUUCGGAGAUGAGGGCGGAAUUCUCGGUGUAGCGGUGAAAUGCGUAGAUAUCGAGAGGAACGCCGACGGCGAAAGCAGCCCUCAAGACGGAAUCUGACCCUGAGACACGAAGGCCAGGGGAGCAAACGGGAUUAGAUACCCCGGUAGUCCUGGCAGUAAACGGUGCUCAUUAGACGUAGGCGGAUUCGACCCCGUCUGUGUCGAACCUAACGGAUUAAAUGAGCCGCCUGGGAAGUACGGCCGCAAGGUUAAAACUCAAAGAAAUUGACGGGGGCCCGCACAAGCGGUGGAGUAUGUGGCUUAAUUCGAUGCAACGCGAAGAACCUUACCUGGCCUUGACAUGCAAAGUUCAGGCGUGGAAACACGCUGGCCCGCAAGGGCGAUUUGCACAGGUGCUGCAUGGCUGUCGUCAGCUCGUGUCGUGAGAUGUUGGGUUAAGUCCCGCAACGAGCGCAACCCUCGUGGUUAGUUAAUCCUGGGAAACCAGGAUUCUGACCAGACUGCCCUGUGAAACGGGGAGGAAGGUGGGGACGACGUCAAGUCCGUAUGGCCCUUACGGCAGGGCUGCACACGUACUACAAUGCCCACUACAGAGGGACGCAAAGCCGCAA
rnacentral:rRNA from 1 species